UAAACUAAACUCUGUGUCCAGAGAAGU
rnacentral:piRNA from 1 species